rnacentral:lncRNA from 1 species
AAAAAAAAAAACAGAAACACGAUUAUGCAAAUUCAGUCCUAAAUGAUAAAAUGAUAAGCAUAAAUCAACGUGCUGAAACAUAUAAGAUAGAAAAUCACCAAUUUUAAACUGCAUCUGUACUGUACAUAUAUAUAUAUAUUCACAGAUUUUAGUUAUAGUUACAUACAUAUAUAUAUAUAUUCACAGAUUUUAGUUAUAGUUACAUACAUACAUGCAUCUUUGGCAGAAGAUUAAGAAAACUGAUUGCUGCUCUACGUAGCCAGCCACCAUCCAGUUUAUCAGCUUCCAAUAAUAAUUCCUAUUUAC